rnacentral:ncRNA from 1 species
CUAUGAUUAUAAGAAAUCAUGGCGGAAGGAG